CGGACGGGUGAGUAACACGUGAGCAACCUGCCUUUCAGAGGGGGAUAACGUUUGGAAACGAACGCUAAUACCGCAUAAAAUAUCGGAGUCGCAUGGCACUGAUAUCAAAGGAGCAAUCCGCUGAAAGAUGGGCUCGCGUCCGAUUAGGCAGUUGGCGGGGUAACGGCCCACCAAACCGACAAUCGGUAGCCGGACUGAGAGGUUGAACGGCCACAUUGGGACUGAGACACGGCCCAGACUCCUACGGAAGGCAGCAG
rnacentral:rRNA from 1 species